ACGAAGGGGGCUAGCGUUGCUCGGAAUUACUGGGCGUAAAGCGCACGUAGGCGGUCUUUUAAGUCAGGAGUGAAAUCCUGGAGCUCAACUCCAGAACUGCCUUUGAUACUGGAGAGCUUGAGUCCGGGAGAGGUGAGUGGAACUCCGAGUGUAGAGGUGAAAUUCGUAGAUAUUCGGAAGAACACCAGUGGCGAAGGCGGCUCACUGGCCCGGUACUGACGCUGAGGUGCGAAAGCCAGGGGAGCGAACGGGA
rnacentral:rRNA from 1 species